AAAGAACCAGUUAUUUUCUAGGUUUUUCAAGAUUUUGAAAAUCUCUACUAUAUCUCAGUAUUCAAAUUGGGGCAGCCAAGUGGCACAAUAGAUAGAAUGCUGGGCCUGGAGUCAAGAAGACUCCUCUUUAGAGCAGCUGGGUGGCACAAUGGAUUGAGAGCCAGGCCUAGAGACAGGAGGUCCUAGGUUCAAAUCUGGCCUCAGACACUUCCCAGCUAUGUGACCCUGGGCAAGUCACUUAACCCCCAUUGCCUAGCCCUUACCACUCUUCUGCCUUGGAGCCAAUACACAGUAUUGACUCCAAGACAGAAGAUAAGGGUUAAAAAAAAAAAGAAGACCCCUCUUCCUGAGUUCAAAUCUAGUCUCAGACAUUAAUUAGUUACCCUGGCCAAGUCACUUAACCCUGUUGGCCUCAGUUUCAUCAUCUGUAAAAUGAGCUUGAGAAGAAAAUGGCAAGCUACUACUCCUUCAUCUUUACCAAAAAAAAACAAAAACAGUCGGUCAUAACUGAAAAUAACUGAACAAAAAUGUUAAAAUUAAACAUUGAUCUUGGUCUUACAUAUACACAAUUUUCUAUAAAAUAAGUCUAUCACUGCUGAGGUACAGUACAUAUUGCAAAUUUAACUGUAAAUUUUCUAAGUUCCCUUUCAUGCAAAGAGGAUUAAGAGUCAGUGCUUUUCACUUAAAUAAUUUCUAAUGAUAUGGGUAAAUGACAUUCUGAAAGGAUUUACCAACUGUCACUUUUAUUCACCUUUUCUUUAUGUCAAAGGCAUUACUUUUUAAGUGACUUUUUAUAGAAAGACACAAGAUUGUUUGGAAAAACUCUGAACAAAUAAAAUCUACAUGGCUCAAAAAUGGUUUUAUCCCAACAAAGGAAAAUGUAUAAAUAAUUAGUUUUUUUUGCUUAUUUGUCUAUUUACUUUAAUUCCAUUAAUAAUAAAUGUUUCUUAGGAAAUAAAGUGAUGAUGCUGGUGGAGUUGUGAAUUAAUCCAACCAUUCUGGAGGACAAUUUGGAACUACACCCAAAAGGCUUUAAAAGACUGUCUGCCCUUUGAUCCAGCCAUAGCACUGCUGGGUUUGUACCUCAAAGAGAUCAUAAGGAAAAAGACAUGUACAAGAAUAUUCAUAGCUGCGCUCUUUGUGGUGGCAAAAAACUGGAAAACGAGGGGAUGCCCAUCAAUUGGGGAAUGGCUGAGCAAAUUGUGGUAUAUGUUGGUGAUGGAGUACUAUUGUGCUCAAAGGAAUAACAAAGUGGAGGAAUUCCAUGGAGACUGGAACAACCUCCAGGAAGUGAUGCAGAGCGAGAGGAGCAGAUCCAGGAAAAUAUUGUACACAGAGACUGAUACACUGUGGUACAAUCGAACGUAAUGGAUUUCUCCAUUAGUGGCAAUGCAGUGAUCCUGAACAACUUGGAGGGAUCUACGAGAAAGAACACUAUCCACAUUCAGAAGAAACACUGCAGGGGUAGAAACACAGAAGAAAAAUAACUGCUUGAUCACAUGGGCCAAGAGGAUAUGGCUGGGGAUGUAGACUCUAAAUGAACAUCCUAAUGCAAACAUCAACAACAUGGCAAUAGGUUCUGAUCAAGGACACAUGUAAUACCCAGUGGAAUUGCAUGUCGGUUACAGGAAGGGGUGGAGGGAGGGAAGGAAGGGAAGGAAUAUGAUUCUUGUAACCAAGGAAUAAUGUUCUAAAUUGACUAAAUAAAUUUUUCAAAAAAAAAAAGAAGAAAAAGAAGUGAUGAUCACAAAGAGACAGCAUGCCUUUAUCCCUGAUAAGCCAUGUCAAACUGAUCUUAUUUCUUUUUUGGACAAAUGAAACUGAUAGAUUAGAGGAAUAUUAUAGACUUGGUUUAUCUAGAUUUAAAGCAUGUAAUAAAAUAUCUUAUACAAUUCUUGUGGAAAAGGUAGAAAGAGGUGGGCUCAAUGAUAGUACAAUUAAAUACUUUAUUAACUGGUAGAAUUCUAGAAUCCAAAAACAGUAAUUAAUUCAAGUUGGUUUGAUACCACCUUGAAAGGGAGUCUCUAAGAUAAAACUACAGAAAUCCCUACUUGGCCCUGGAGGGUUAAUAUUUUUAUCAUUGUUUUGUAGAAAAGUAUAAGACAACAUCUUUAUCAAAUUUGCAGGUGACACAAAGCUGAAAGGAAGAAAAAGUAUGCUAAAUGACAAUCAAAAUACAAAAAGAUCUUUUACAAGCCAGUAUGUUGGGCUGAAUCUAAUAAGGCAAUUGGGAGUCAAUGGAAUUUACGGAACAAGAAAGUGACAUAGUCAGAGCUGAACUUCAGAAAAAUCACUUGAGCACCUAUGAUCUAGAGGAGUAAGGAGAGCCUGAAGGCAGAAAAGCCAUUUCCAAGGCACUGGGAAUCAGGAGGUGAUGAGGACAUGAAUCAGAAAAGCUGGGGACGAUGUGAAUAAAAAAAGGAAAGGAGAAGCUGAUUGCAAGAGAUGAACUGGAAGUACAAACAAGAUUUGUAAACUGUAUGUGGGGUGAAAGUGAAGAGGAAAGAAGAACACCUUGGGACUGUAUCUUUUUUCAAGAGGCAAAAGAAAGCAGAGGAUGGAGUGGAGAUAGAAAUUAAGGAAACCAAAAGAGAGACAUGCUAACAAGGUAAGGCACUAAAAAUUAUCAAUAGGGAGACAGGAUCUUAAAAACAUCAAAUGUACAAAAAAAUUAAAGGACCACUAUGACUAAGAAAAGGUAAUUAGGGGCCAAAAGUAACCUUCCAAGCCAGGAUUUUGUGGGAAGCAAAUAAAUAAUGAGGCUGUGGAGAAUUUAGGAGAAAGGAAAGAAAGGAAUUAAUAGUAACUCAAGUAGAAUAUUCAAGAGAGGGGUGUUGAAGGGAUAAAUUCCAUCAUGUUUCAAUCCCAAUUAAACAAUAUAUGUUACAUACAUACUCUAUGCCAGUCAUGGUUCUAAGGGUUAGAAAUACAAUGAAAAUUCAAUAAGUUUGUCUUCUGGGGUUAACCACACAUUUAAGUUUAUAUGUGUGUUUAUAUAUAUGUAUAUAUAUAUGCAUAUAUAUUAUAUAUAUAUG